rnacentral:rRNA from 1 species
UACGUAGGGGGCAAGCGUUAUCCGGAUUUACUGGGUGUAAAGGGAGCGUAGACGGCAGGGCAAGCCAGAAGUGAAAACGCAGAGCUUAACUUUGCGACUGCUUUUGGAACUGCCCAGCUAGAGUACAGGAGAGGUAAGUGGAAUUCCUAGUGUAGCGGUGAAAUGCGUAGAUAUUAGGAGGAACACCAGUGGCGAAGGCGGCUUACUGGACUGAGACUGACGUUGAGGCUCGAAAGCGUGGGGAGCAAACAGG